AUUGAACGCUGGCGGCAGGCUUAACACAUGCAAGUCGAACGAGCGGCGGACGGGUGAGUAAUGUCUGGGAAACUGCCUGAUGGAGGGGGAUACCUACUGGAAACGGUAGCUAAUACCGCAUACCCUCGGAUGUGCCCAGAUGGGAUUAGCUAGUAGGUGGGGUAAUGGCUCACCUAGGCGACGAUCCCUAGCUGGUCUGAGAGGAGGACCAGCCACACUGGAACUGAGACACGGUCCAGACUCCUACGGGAGGCAGCAGUGGGGAAGAUUGCACAAUGGGCGCAAGCCUGAUGCAGCCAUGCCGCGUGUGUGAAGAAGGCCUUCGGGUUGUAAAGUACUUUCAGCGGGGAGGCGUUACCCGCAGAAGAAGCACCGGCUAACUCCGUGCCAGCAGCCGCGGUAAUAC
rnacentral:rRNA from 1 species